rnacentral:rRNA from 1 species
UACGAAGGGGGCUAGCGUUGUUCGGAAUUACUGGGCGUAAAGGGCGCGUAGGCGGUACUUCAAGUCAGGCGUGAAAGCCCCGGGCUCAACCUGGGAACCGCGCUUGAGACUGGAGAACUAGAGUUCGGGAGAGGAUGGUGGAAUUCCCAGUGUAGAGGUGAAAUUCGUAGAUAUUGGGAAGAACACCGAUGGCGAAGGCGGCUCACUGGCCCGAUACUGACGCUGAGGUGCGAAAGCGUGGGGAGCAAACAGG